rnacentral:tRNA from 1 species
CGGCAUGUGACUCCGUCUGGCAGAGCUCUGUCUUCGGGCGGCAGGGGUCGGGGGUUCAAAUCCCCCCAUCCCAA